rnacentral:rRNA from 1 species
AUACGGAGGAUCCGAGCGUUAUCCGGAUUUAUUGGGUUUAAAGGGAGCGUAGGUGGAUUGUUAAGUCAGUUGUGAAAGUUUGCGGCUCAACCGUAAAAUUGCAGUUGAAACUGGCAGUCUUGAGUACAGCAGAGGUGGGCGGAAUUCGUGGUGUAGCGGUGAAAUGCUUAGAUAUCACGAAGAACUCCGAUUGCGAAGGCAGCUCACUAGACUGUUACUGACACUGAUGCUCGAAAGUGUGGGUAUCAAACAGGAUUAGAUACCCUGGUAGUCCACACAGUAAACGAUGAAUACUCGCUGUUUGCGAUAUACAGUAAGCGGCCAAGCGAAAGCAUUAAGUAUUCCACCUGGGGAGUACGCCGGCAACGGUGAAACUCAAAUGAAUUGGCGGGG